UAAGAUCAAUCUUAGCUCUUUGUGAAAUCAAGGAAUAAUACUGAGCACAACUUGUUCAAAGACCAGUGUCCCUGGAAAUUAAGGCAGUUUGAAGUACUUUUAAAUUUCAACAAAAUAAGGAUUUGGCUCAAAGGUUGACAGUAACUAAACAUCUCUUGGCUUAUAUAAACUGGGUUGUAUAAACAAGUUAACUGGUAAUCUCGACCUACUCCGUGGUAACUAGAUUAACGGUUUUAUAGUAUGCUUUAACUUUGUAAACCAUCCUUUAUUUGGGGUUCUUUAUUUUGUGUAAUCUUUUUUUAGGUUACAUACUUUGGUUGCACUAUGAAUUGGUAAAGAAAAGAUUAUGCGUCAUUUAAAUGAUAAAGUAUUAGGUAUAUUACUCUACAAUGCAGUUUUAUUUCAGCUUUUCUGGGUUUUUAUUAACAAUACUAUUUCAAUUUUAGAGAUGUGCCAUUAGCAAAGAAUAUUUAUUUCUUUUGAAUAAUUUAGAGAACAAUUUUAUACUUUUUUUUUUACCUAUGUGUGGCUUGAACAAUUUUAUUUUAAGGUAGAAUAUAAAAACUUUUAAUGUAUAUUUUCAUGAAAUGGGUUGGCCAUACAAACGAAGAUAAAGCUUAAGUUGAAAGUUAUUCAGUAUUCGGCAAGGAGAUUUUUUCCCAAAGGAAAGCCUAAAACCUAACAAAAAGGGAAAAGAUUAAAUGUCUUCAUAUUCUGGCUGGUCUGUUGAAUAAGUUCAGUUGAUGGUUAUCUGACUGAUUCUACACACUUUACAAUGGCAGAAACGCCCCCUAACGGUUGAAUAGUUGCUGCGUGUGUUGCGUGAGUGUACAUGUACGUGCAUGUACAUAACGUAUAGGGCUUAUGGUUUUAUCAAUUCAAGGUUUUAUCAAUUCAAGGUUUUAUCAAUUCAACGUCUUGUACAAGACAAGCUUGCGGAACAUGCAAUCAGCUUUUGCAACAUUGGACAGUCAUGGCAGUAGUACAUUGCUUGUAGAUCCUUCAUUUGUAGUGCAAGUUUCUGGACAGUUUAUAUUUCAGUUGAGUAUUGGGUAAUGUGUGUAACAUUGUCAUAGCUGUGUGGGGUCCAUAUGGAAGCCCAUCCUGCAAUAUCCUAACUGAAAUUUCUUAUCAAUAUGAUCAAUACAUAAUAUGCACUGAUCAAAACUAAUGAAUUAUUAAUAAGCUGUGGGCAUGAUUUACAUAUGAAUAUUCAUGUAAUGAUUUCACAAGCUAUUUGACCAAUAUGUGUACAACUUAAUAUUGAAGAGUAAGAAUAUCGAUGAAUUUGUAUUUUUGUGUGUAGUUGAGGUGAGAGGUUAGUGUAUAUUUUAUUAACCUUUAUUGGGUGCUGCUGGAGGUUUGGGGUUUUUAUUGUGAUUUAAUAGUUGAGAAACCUGUGGGCAAGGAGGGUAUUCGUAGCUUGGACUAAAAACUUACGUUUUUUUAAUCUGCAGUCAAGUGUCACACGAGGCAACUUUCACAGGUAACUUUCACAGGUAACUUUCACAGGUAACUUUCACAGGCAACUUUCACAGGUAACUUGGAGGCAACCAACUGCAGUGCGAAAGGGCUUUAUAUAAAAAGCAUACAGGCAAAGGUUUUCUGACUUUUACAUUGUAGUGUACUACAGGCAGACAGGUAUUGGGAGGUGGGCACUGUCACCAAAAAAAAACCUCCCUCCCUCUCUCUAACUAUUAAAAACUUGUUUGAUUGAAGCCAUUAUUUGUGGUGCAACAAAAAAUACAAUGAUGGGUAGUAGACAAAUCUUGAUUCUUCGCGAUUUGAAGCUUUUUGUUACUCGACUCUCAAACCUAUAGAGGAUGUCAGGCAGUUGGACUCGAGCCCAACUAGGUGUGGUUUUGAAGGUUUUUGAAAUGAUUUUUUUAUGUAAUUGUGGUACUUGGUUAACAUCAAGAUCAAAAAAACCUUCCAUUCCACUCGACAAAUAGUUUGGUCUUGCAUUAUUUUUUGUUGUUAAAAUAGAAUUGUAAGUACUUUUUAUACAAGAAAGAAAAGAAAAUGAUUUGUAAUAUUCUGGACAUUCUGUGGUGUUGGAAUUAUUUAAAGAUUGACAGAGCCAAAUGAAAUGUACAUAUUGCAUGUGAAUUAAUGUAGAAAUAAAUAUGUAAACUACUAUUGUGGA